CGGGGUGCCCCCGCUCGAUUUCUCUUCAAUGCUUGAAAGCGUGAUUCGGGAAUGUCUUAGUGUCGGAAAUUUACUUUCCGUCUUUUACCAUUUGUAAUCGUCUUGAAAAAUAAGGGUGUGGGCUAAACUGUUGGAAUCCGCCGCUAUAUCACCAGCUCCUCGAGUGUUACUCACGAAUAUCGGGCCUAAAGCUUCUCGUAGCUGGACCUCUUACGUCCGCUGUGAAAUGUUGGGGCUCAACCCUAAUCUCGUGCAAUGCAUACUGUUGGUCUUGCGAACGGGGGAGGGUCGGGGUACUUCCUGGGUAGGAGUAAAAUCCGUUGAGCCUGCAGAGACCACCAGAGACUAACGCGCCGAUCCACAGACUGUUUAAACUUAAUGUACUAACGCUGGGUGAGCCAACGGGAUUAAAUACCCCGGUAGUCCCACCUGUUUGUGAUGCACACGGUGGCUUUACUUUUGAAUAAUCAUGUGUAGAGCUGUAACAUAAGUGUUAAUUCUGCCUCCUGUAUAGUACUAUCCUGCAAUUUAAACUUAUCGGACUUGGCGGACGAGCAGAAGAACU
rnacentral:rRNA from 1 species